UACGGGGGGAGCAAGCGUUGUUCGGAUUUACUGGGCGUAAAGGGCGCGUAGGCGGUCAGCACAAGUCAGUUGUGAAAUCUCCGGGCUUAACUCGGAAAGGUCAACUGAUACUGUGCGACUAGAGUGCAGAAGGGGCAACUGGAAUUCUCGGUGUAGCGGUGAAAUGCGUAGAUAUCAGGAGGAACACCGGUGGCGAAGGCGGGAUCCUGGGCCAGUACUGACGCUGAGGAGCGAAAGCGUGGGGAGCAAACA
rnacentral:rRNA from 1 species